rnacentral:rRNA from 1 species
CAAGGAAUAUUCCACAAUGGGCGAAAGCCUGAUGGAGCGACGCCGCGUGGAGGAUGACGCCUUUCGGGGUGUAAACUCCUUUUCUCAGGGACGAAGACAGUGACGGUACCUGAGGAAUAAGCACCGGCUAACUACGUGCCAGCAGCCGCGGUAAGACGUAGGGUGCAAGCGUUGUCCGGAGUUACUGGGCGUAAAGGGCGCGUAGGCGGCGCGCCGCGUCGCACGUGAAAGCCCCCGGCUCAACCGGGGAGGGUCGUGCGAAACGGGCGUGCUUGAGGCAGAGAGAGGCGAGUGGAAUUCCCGGUGUAGUGGUGAAAUGCGUAGAUAUCGGGAGGAACACCAGAGGCGAAGGCGGCUCGCUGGCUCUGACCUGACGCUGAGGCGCGAAGGCGUGGGGAGCGAACGGG